CCGUUUCAUUAUUGACACCCCUCUUCUCGGGGUUUCAUUUAUAGCCAUCUGAAAACGCAGAUUGGGGGUUAUGUUUGGACCAAUGGACACAUUUCAUGAUCGCAGCAAAAUAGGUCAAAGUUCACAAUGCAGUCGAAUGUGCAAAGCAAUUCGCCGAUAACCGUGGACUCACUGUCAUUUUUGGAAUUUAAAGAAGUUCAAUUAUGCGUGGCCAACAGAAGAACAUUCUGCCUUGUUUCGAAGCUUCCUCCCAGAAGACCUUGAAGACGAGUUGAAGAAUUCUUCAAUUCCUGUGAAAAAUUUUAUAUUUGUACAAGUGGUUAAUAACACCCUAGAUGAAAAUUACUGGAUCUUUGAUUUAGCCCGUAAGCACAGCAGUAUAGUUGGAGUCGUGGGAUGGGUAGAUUUAUCAAAACCCGAUGAGGUGGGAGCCAUUGUAGAUAAUCUGAGGACCAAUCCGUUAUUGGUUGGUUUAAGAUACAUCACAGAGUUCGAAGAUUCUGAUUGGUUGGGGCGGCCUGAAGUACACAAAAGCUUGUCAAUUAUAGAGAACAGAGGUUUAACCUUUGACCUGCUCAUCAGGUAGUUUUCAUUGUGUCACAGUUACGCCGAUUGGGG